UGGCUGCCUCCUCCAGGAGAUGAUGGCUGUGUGAGUGCCUGCCAUGGCCCACCGAAAGUGUGAGAGCGCAAGGAGCGGCAUGUUGGAUCACAGAGCGAGGCCGGGCACCGUUCCCCAUGGCCAAGAGCGAAGACGAGGAGCUGCCCUUAGAGGACUAGGUACCCGAGGGCCUGGAACUGGCUGCCCUAUAGCCAGAGAGCCCCAUGCCCAAGGAGUAGGAAUGCCACAACCACAACCCCGAUGGGGAUUCCAACUAUGUGAACAACACCUCCGAGGAGGAGGACUACGACGAGGGCCUCCCCGAGGAGGAGGAGGGCAUCACCUACUACAUCUGCUACUGCCCCGAGGACAACAGCUACCUGGAGGGCAGGGACUGCAAUGGGAAGGAGUACCUGGCCCACGGCAUGCACCCCGUUGACACUGACACGUGCCAGGAGCAUCCACACUACAUGCCUCCUAACUGGAACGUCCAGUGAAGAGCUCAGCCACCAUUAGAACUGCAAGGCACCCAGCCCCUCCCACCGCCUCGCUUCAGCAUCUGCAGGGGCUGUACUAGGAGGUCCCUUGCUCUCGGGCCCCUCUGCUACCUUCUCUGGGACAGGAGAGUCUUACUCUGGGACAGGAGAGGAGUGGCUGGACUAGGUGGGCCUGCACCCUCAUAGCCACUGUGCUGAGGGCAGCCAGGACUACCCAGACGGCCACCUGCCCAUCCUGGAGGACGAGCCCUCUGUCCUGGAGGCCCACGACCAGGAAUAAGAUGGCCAGUACUGUCCCAGAAAAGAGGGCUACUAGGGCUGCUACCCCACAGAGGCCAAUGGGAACACCGGUGCCUCCCCUUACCAACUGAGGCAUGGGGACGGGAACCUGGAGGACCAGGAGGAUGACACUGACCCUAUCGUGGCAAAGAUCAAGAGGAGCCUGAGCAUGACCAGCAUCACCAGUGCCAGUGAAACCAGCAUGGUCCUGAGCCAAGAUGUGGGGACUCUGCAGAGGCCUGCGUACCCAGCCAGGCCAGCUGCAACCCCAGCAGGCACGAAGCGAAACCCAAGUCACUGAACCUCCCUCCUGAGGCCAAGCACUGUGAAGACCCCCAGAGAGGCUUCAAGCCCAAGACUAGGACCCCAGAGGAGAGGCCGCAGUCAUCCCACAAGCAGGCUCUUAGUGCAUCUAGGAUCCUGAGCUGCCAGGGGCCUGGCCACUCCCGCCCCGAGCCCUGCCUUGGCUGAGCUGGUCACCGCUGCGUGUCCCGGGCUGCCGGCCUGCCUGUCAUCUGCAGUGCACAGGCCUCUGGAAACCAACCACCUUCUACUUUCUGUCUUAUGAAUUGGACUACUCUAGGUACUUCAGACUCACUCUGUCACCGAGGCUAAGUGAAGUGCAGUGGCGCAAUCUUGGCUGACUACAAGCUCCACCUCCUAUGUUGAAGCAGUUCUCCUUCCUCAGCGUCCGGAGUAGCUGGGACAAAAUUAUCUUUUAAAUGAGCACAAAGUAAAAUUGAUAAGAGUGGACAGUACUUUUAAAAAUACUUGCCUGAUGGUAUAAAAAUGUGAAGUACAUGAACUCUGUGAGCCUUAAAUACCAGAAGAACACUGUGGUUUUGGCCAACAAAUUGGAGAUUGCUCAAGUCUCUUUCAGAGGACAGUGCUCUCGGGGACUCUGUCACGUCUCUACUUUCUCCUGGCACCUAGUACAAUGCCUGGCAUGUAGCUGGAACUCACUCUGUGCACAGAAUGCCCUGGAGCACAGAAGGAAAUUAAGAAAACCAAGAUGUAGUGCUGUCAGCUGUGGCGAAUCCAUUCGGGUCUGCAGCAACCUCAAUUCUAGCCCCUCAGAAGAAAGAAUUUGACUGAAGGCAGGGGAGACUGAGGCAAGUUUUAGAGCAAGAGUGAAAGUUUAUUAAAAACCUUUAGCACAGGAGCAUAAGGAAGUAAAGGACACUUGGAAGAGGGCCAAGCAGGUGCCUUGAGAGAUAAGUGUGCUGUGUGCCCUUUGACUUGGGGUCUUAUACACUGGGAAGCUUCCAGGGUGCUGCAUCCCUUCCCGUGCCCCCAUUCUUCCCUUGGGGUGGGCUGUCCACAUGCACCCUGUGUUUCUGGAGUUGAACACAUGCUCAUUUGAUGCAUUCUUCUCUUACCAGUAGAACCUUCCCAGAAGGUCAUAUACCAGUGAAACGUAGUUGUUUUGCCUCUUAGUGCGCAUGUGUGAGCCCACUUCCCCAGCUCGUGAGAUCUUACUGGGAGACUGCUGCUCACCAGUUUCAGGUGUUUCUACCUAUUGGGAGACUACAUUUCCCUGGUCCCUGCUGCAUCUGAUUAUUGUUUUGGAGAGACAGCUUAACUGCCAGACUCUCACCUGGCAUUGAUCAGGCAAGAGAAUGAAGAAGAGAGGGUAAGAAAAACCUAUAGAUUUAAAAGACACGUAAGAGAGAAAUCAAUCAAAUUCAGUGUAAUCAAAUUCAGCCUGGCAUUCCUGAUGCAGGGAGGUUGGGGGCUCUCCUGCCCUGCUUAUGUCUGGUUUGCUACCUUCUGUAACAGUGCUGCAUAUUUAAAUAUCCACAUCUGCAUGCAAAUACUGCAACAGAACAUGAAACAAUACUUUCUAGAGCCACAGUCAAUGCAAGAGUGAAAAAGUGUAUUCCAAGUCAUCUGCAACAGAAACAUUUGCCCCUUGUCUUUCAGAUACAAUUUCUGUCAAUGUAGUGUCCGACAGAGUGGAGAAAGUUGUAUUCAGUAAGAAACCACUUUAUUUUCCAUUUGAUUUCCCAGAUUUGUGUAAAAGAGACACCAAACAUUCACUGCCAUUCCCAAUGACCUGAUCUCUGAGAUGAAAUUUUCUAAUUUAGUAAAAAUAUAGAGGAGGAAAAUAAACUUUAACAGGAGGAAGGAUAGACAGCCUAACCUAUAGCUCAAGCUAUGAAACACUAAGCCAGAUACAACAACAUUGGCAAAAGAUUACAAAGGAUAUUUCUAUGCCUGAUAAAAUGUCUAUUAAUGUUAAUAUUAAAUAUUUUUUAUAAUUUAAAAAUA